rnacentral:rRNA from 1 species
CCUACGGGGUGCACCAGUGGGGAAUAUUGGACAAUGGGCGAAAGCCUGAUCCAGCAAUGCCGCGUGUGUGAAGAAGGUCUUCGGAUUGUAAAGCACUUUCGACGGGGACGAUGAUGACGGUGUCCGUAGAAGAAGCCCCGGCUAACCUCGUGCCAGCAGCCGCGGUAAUACGAAGGGGGCUAGCGUUGCUCGGAAUGACUGGGCGUAAAGGGCGCGUAGGCGGUUUAUGCAGUCAGAUGUGAAAUCCCCGGGCUUAACCUGGGAACUGCCUUUGAGACGCAUAGACUAGAGGUCGAGAGAAGGUUGUGGAAUUCCCAGUGUAGAGGUGAAAUUCGUAGAUAUUGGGAAGAACACCGGUGGCGAAGGCGGCAACCUGGCUCGAUACUGACGCUGGGGCGCGAAAGCGUGGGGAGCAAACAGGAUUAGAUACCCCCGUAGUC